rnacentral:rRNA from 1 species
CCUACGGGAGGCAGCAGUGAGGAAUAUUGGUCAAUGGCCGGGAGACUGAACCAGCCAAGCCGCGUGAGGGAGGAAGGUACAGAGUAUUGUAAACUUCUUUUGUCAGGGAACAAAGUCAGGCUCGCGACCCUGGACGAGGGUACCUGAAGAAAAAGCAUCGGCUAACUCCGUGCCAGCAGCCGCGGUAAUACGGAGGAUGCGAGCGUUAUCCGGAUUUAUGGGGUUUAAAGGGUGCGUAGGCGGUCUGUUAAGUCAGCGGUCAAAGCCCGGGGCUCAACCCCGGCCAGCCGUUGAAACUGGCAGUCUCGAGUUGGAGAGAAGUAUGCGGAAUGCGCAGUGUAGCGGUGAAAUGCUUAGAUAUCGCGCAGAACUCCGAUUGCGAAGGCAGCAUACCGGCUCCGCACUGACGCUGAGGCACGAAAGCGUGGGUAUCGAACAGGAUUAGAUACCCGUGUAGUC